UCUUAAGAAUGGAACUGACCUCCCAAGGGCGUGCAAUAGCAGGCCCCGGAUGCGGUGAAGUCAUCGGUGACGUAUCCUGGCCUGCAGUGCACGCCCCCAGAGGGUGCCACUGACACUUCCGGUC
rnacentral:precursor_RNA from 10 species